GAUGAACGCUGGCGGCGUGCCUAAUACAUGCAAGUCGAGCGAACAAACGAGGAGCUUGCUCCUCUGACGUUAGCGGCGGACGGGUGAGUAACACGUGGAUAACCUACCUAUAAGACUGGGAUAACUUCGGGAAACCGGAGCUAAUACCGGAUAAUAUAUUGAACCGCAUGGUUCAAUAGUGAAAGACGGUUUUGCUGUCACUUAUAGAUGGAUCCGCGCCGCAUUAGCUAGUUGGUAAGGUAACGGCUUACCAAGGCGACGAUGCGUAGCCGACCUGAGAGGGUGAUCGGCCACACUGGAACUGAGACACGGUCCAGACUCCUACGGGAGGCAGCAGUAGGGAAUCUUCCGCAAUGGGCGAAAGCCUGACGGAGCAACGCCGCGUGAGUGAUGAAGGUCUUCGGAUCGUAAAACUCUGUUAUUAGGGAAGAACAAAUGUGUAAGUAACUAUGCACGUCUUGACGGUACCUAAUCAGAAAGCCACGGCUAACUACGUG
rnacentral:rRNA from 1 species